GACGGAGGAUGCAAGUGUUAUCCGGAAUCACUGGGCGUAAAGCGUCUGUAGGUGGUUCGAAAAGUCCACUGUUAAAAAUUGAGGCUUAACUUCAAAGAUGCCGUGGAAACUUUCAAACUAAGAGUGUGGUAGGGGUAGAGGGAAUUUCCGAGUGGAGCGGUAGAAAUGCGUAGAUAGUUGGAAAAGACCACCGAUGGCGAAGGCACUCUACUGGGCCAUUACUGACACUGAGAGACGAAAGCUAGGGGAGCAAAUGGGG
rnacentral:rRNA from 1 species